CUUUGCAGUUUUUCCCUCCAUUUACCCAUAUCUUCCCUCCAUCUACCUAUCUUGGGGCAUGUGAUGAGUUUAGGUAUCUUCCCUCCAUCUACCUAAAUUAUCUUAGGGACAUGUAAUGAGUUUGGGAGGAUCAAAAGCUCAAUAAUGAAUUCUUUAUUCACAAUGGAAGUAAACGGCUAUUUACCAUUUAAAUACAAGUUGGGAAAAACUUAUAAAC